CCGCCUCGGCCACGCCCGCCGCCGCGCCUCGCCACGCCUCGUCCUGGCGUACCUGCAGAGCAGGGUGCGUGAGGGGUGGUUGCUAUGCUGCAUCUGAAAGUCAGAAAACAACACCGUGGAACUCAGAGGCAAACUUCAGCAGCCAGUUCUCUACCGUACAGGGCCCAGUGAGUCCCAGGGGUCAAACUCAAGUAAGUCCGGCUUGGCAAGGAGGCCCUGUACCGGAUGAGCUAUCACAGUCGCCAGAGGGAAGAACGCUCAGGAAGAGCCUUGGCUAAAACUACAGGCUGGAGAGAUGGCUCAGCAGUUUAGAGCACUGGCUGCUCUUCCAGAGGUCCUCAGCACACACGUGGCAGCUCACAGCUAUCGGUAACUCUGCCUCCAGGAGAUGUGACGCCCUCUUCUGCCUAUGCAGGCACUGCAUGCACACAAUGUGCAGGCGUACACGCAGGCAAAAUAACCGCACAAAAAAUAAAAAUAAAUCUUGAAACAAACAACUAAGGGCGGGACAUGUAUGGUAGAGUGUUUGACUAACGUACACGAAGUCCUCAGUUCAGUUGAAC
rnacentral:lncRNA from 1 species